rnacentral:rRNA from 1 species
GAUGAACGCUGGCGGCGUGCUUAACACAUGCAAGUCGAACGGUGAAGCCCAGCUUGCUGGGUGGAUCAGUGGCGAACGGGUGAGUAACACGUGAGCAACCUGCCCCGGACUCUGGGAUAAGCGCUGGAAACGGCGUCUAAUACUGGAUAUGAGCAGCGGCCGCAUGGCCAGCUGCUGGAAAGAUUUUUUGGUCUGGGAUGGGCUCGCGGCCUAUCAGCUAGUUGGUGAGGUAACGGCUCACCAAGGCGUCGACGGGUAGCCGGCCUGAGAGGGUGACCGGCCACACUGGGACUGAGACACGGCCCAGACUCCUACGGGAGGCAGCAGUGGGGAAUAUUGCACAAUGGGCGGAAGCCUGAUGCAGCAACGCCGCGUGAGGGAUGACGGCCUUCGGGUUGUAAACCUCUUUUAGCAAGGAAGAAGCGAAAGUGACGGUACCUGCAGAAAAAGCACCGGCUAACUACGUGCCAGCAGCCGCUGUAACAC